rnacentral:rRNA from 1 species
AAAUUGAAGAGUUUGAUCAUGGCUCAGAUUGAACGCUGGCGGCAGGCCUAACACAUGCAAGUCGAACGGUAACAGGAAGCAGCUUGCUGCUUCGCUGACGAGUGGCGGACGGGUGAGUAAUGUCUGGGAAACUGCCUGAUGGAGGGGGAUAACUACUGGAAACGGUGGCUAAUACCGCAUAACGUCGCAAGACCAAAGAGGGGGACCUUUGGGCCUCUUGCCAUCAGAUGUGCCCAGAUGGGAUUAGCUUGUUGGUGAGGUAACGGCUCACCAAGGCGACGAUCCCUAGCUGGUCUGAGAGGAUGACCAGCCACACUGGAACUGAGACACGGU